UACGUAGGGUGCGAGCGUUGUCCGGAAUUAUUGGGCGUAAAGGGCUCGUAGGCGGUUUGUCGCGUUGGGAGUGAAACCUUGGGCUUAACUCAGGGCUUGCUUUCGAUACGGGCAGACUAGAGGUAUGCAGGGGAGAACGGAAUUCCUGGUGUAGCGGUGAAAUGCGCAGAUAUCAGGAGGAACACCGGUGGCGAAGGCGGUUCUCUGGGCAUGAUCUGACGCUGAGGAGCGAAAGUGUGGGGAGCGAACAGG
rnacentral:rRNA from 1 species